rnacentral:rRNA from 1 species
UACGAAGGGGGCUAGCGUUGUUCGGAUUUACUGGGCGUAAAGCGCACGUAGGCGGAUCGUUAAGUCAGGGGUGAAAUCCUGGAGCUCAACUCCAGAACUGCCUUUGAUACUGGCGAUCUCGAGUCCGGAAGAGGUGAGUGGAACUCCUAGUGUAGAGGUGGAAUUCGUAGAUAUUAGGAAGAACACCAGUGGCGAAGGCGACUCACUGGACACGUAUUGACGCUGAGGUGCGAAAGCGUGGGGAGCAACAGG